UGGGAAGUCUGUCAGUUGGGCUU
rnacentral:siRNA from 1 species